AAAGAAACUAACAAGGAUGCGCUUAGUAACGGCGAGCGAACCGCGCAAAGCCCAACUUGAAAAUCUCCCUUGGAGAAUUGUAGUCUAUAGAAGUACCCUCUGCAACGGGCGCAGCUCAAGUCUCCUGGAAAGGGGCGUCAGAGAGGGUGAGAACCCCGUAAGCUGUUGCUUAGUUGCCUCACGAGGUGCUUUCAAAGAGUCGGGUUGCUUGGGAAUGCAGCCCAAAUUUGGUGGUAAAUCCCAUCUAAGGCUAAAUAUUGGCGAGAGACCGAUAGNGAACAAGUACCGUGAGGGAAAGAUGAAAAGAACUUUGAAAAGAGAGUUAAAAAGUGCUUGAAAUUGUUGAGGGGGAAGCGUUUGAAUGCUAGGGUGCGCCUAGGCUUAUGGGUUCUUAACGGAGCUCUGUAUGUGCUACGUGCUGGCCAGCAUGGGUUAGGCUAGUGGGAUAAAAGCUGGGAUUGUUACCCGGUCUAUGCCACUGGCUUGACCAAGGCGUGAAGACUGCCCUUGUCCUUCGGGAACUGCAGUCUCAAGAUGCUGGCAAAAGGCUUUCAACCGACCCGUCUUGAAACACGGACCAAGGAGUCUAACAUGUAUGCGAGUUGGUGGGUGGAAAACCCAUGAAGCGUAAGGAAACUGACUGGUGGGAUGGCCUGUGCCUGCACCAUCGACCGACCAUGCGUUUCUGCAAAAGGUUUGAGUGCGAGCAUACCUGUUGGGACCCGAAAGAUGGUGAACUAUGCCUGAGCAGGGUGAAGCCAGGUGAAAACCUGGUGGAGGCUCGUAGAUGUGCUGACGUGCAAAUCGC
rnacentral:rRNA from 1 species